rnacentral:rRNA from 1 species
UACGUAGGGUGCAAGCGUUAAUCGGAAUUACUGGGCGUAAAGCGUGCGCAGGCGGUUGUGCAAGACAGAUGUGAAAUCCCCGGGCUCAACCUGGGAAUGGCGAUGGAGACUGCAAGGCUAGAGUUUGGCAGAGGGGGGGUAGAAUUCCACGUGUAGCAGUGAAAUGCGUAGAGAUGUGGAGGAAUACCGAUGGCGAAGGCAGCCUCCUGGGCCAACACUGACGCUCAUGCACGAAGACGUGGGGAGCAAACAGG